rnacentral:rRNA from 1 species
GAUGAACGCUGGCGGCGUGCUUGAUACAUGCAAGUCGAACGCAUCGGCAAAGCCAAGGUGUCCUGGCGGAACCGGAGGGCGAGAAAUCGUUCAAAGGGGACAAAAGGGCAAGGAGGCGGAGCUGGUGAGGGGCGGACGGGUGAGUAACACGUAGGUGAUCUGCCUCAAAGUGGGGGAUAACUGUUCGAAAGGGCAGCUAAUACCGCAUGUGGUCCUUGGGAGACCGAGGAAGAAAGGCGAGAGUCGCUUUGAGAUGAGCCUGCGGCCGAUUAGCUAGUUGGUGAGGUAAAGGCUCACCAAGGCGAAGAUCGGUAGCUGGUCUGAGAGGAUGAUCAGCCACACUGGGAUUGAGAACGGCCCAGACUCCUACGGGAGGCAGCAGUAAGGAAUAUUGCACAAUGGGGGGAACCCUGAUGCAGCAACGCCGCGUGGGUGAAGAAGGCUUUCGAGUUGUAAAACCUUUUCUGUGGGAUGAGGAAGGACAGUACCACAGGAAC